GAUUUGGUGGUGUAGUGGUAGAGCACGCGUCCUCAGUUAGGAUGAAACGCGGGUUUGAUCUCCGCCUGAGGCCG